UUUUUUUCCUUCCCUCUCUUCCAGCCACCGAAACCCCCCUCCCUCAAAAUUUUCCUCCCUGCCAUCAAGCCCAAGCAACUCCAGCCGUCUGUCCACGCCGGAUCUGAUGAGUGGACGUCGCGCCGCUCCCAAUCGACUCCUCAGACAGCUGUACGUCCAUCCGAAGCAAAGCGCCGCUUCUCGUCUGCGUCCCAAAGCCACCGGCGCUGUUAGCUCGCGCCACACCAAAUCCGGAGUUCGCCAGCCCCGACUUCAGCGCCAACCACUCCCUCACCCAGUAAAGCCACUCAUUUGGAUCUUCUCCGCCGCCCGAGCCCAGUAGUUAAUCUCCACCGCUGCUCGCCGUCGAUCUUGACCAGUCGGCCAGCCGCAUCCGUCCAAGCGUCGCCUUGCUCGUUCAGCCACUGCCAUUCAGUCCAUCAGUCGUGUCUCUGGUAUUGGUUGAAUGUUUGUUGGGGUUAGAUUGGAGUUUUGAGAAAAUUCUGAGGCGCUGUCCAGCUUCGUGGAAGGGAAAAUUUCGAUCCAAGAUUGGAGUAGUUUGAAGUGCGCAACAUGCUGUUCAGCGAGUUCAAGUUCGUGUCCAACAAGAAAUUUGGUAACAUUUAUGGUUCUUGAGGUUGAUCUUCGGACACCCACUAAUGGUUGGAUUAAGUAAUGACUUUACUAUUGUAUUUUAAAGGUUUAAGGUCACUGUCCAUCAGAAUUAGAGGUUGUUUUUCCUUGUGGAUUUUAGUGGAGAUUUUGGAGCCAAAGUCUGGAAGUGACCGUUGAUCAAGUCAUAGUUUAGGUAAAUCAUUUUUGGGGUUGAUGGUAUGAAUUGAUGGGUGGAAUUGGGCCUUAGUGUGAAUUAAAUGUUGGGUUUAUGUUGUAGAUUUAAUUUGAGUUUCAUUAUCGAGUAGUUGCUUGGAGGAAAAUAUUUGGACUUGCGAUUUGAGGUAAGUAAUCUUACUACUAGAACUGUCCACGGGCCAGACACUAGAUAUAUGCUAGCAUGAUAGAUGAAUAUUAUGACAAAACGAUAGCAUGAUAGACGGAUAAUAUAGUAUGACCGAUAUAUGUUCUUGUAUGAGAAUCUGAAAGAUUUAUUUGUGCACGUAGAUACUUGCAUGCUAGUAAGAGAUGAUACUUGAUUCACCGAGGUUGUAUUUGAUAUGAGGAUAUUGAGGCAUAUAUGCAUGUUGUAUAACAAUGAUGUUGAGGUGUAUAUGUAUGUUAUAGAACCAUAUUGUGAUAAUUGUGAUGUCGAGACUGUGAUAGUAUCUUUACUGAUUAGUUUGAUGCCUACUAGAUAUUGUGUUUCCUCCGGGAUUCACUAGAGAUUGCGUUUCCUUCGGGAUUCACCAGAGAUUGUGUUUCCUUCAGGAUUCACCAGAGAUUGUGUUUCCUUCGCGAUUCAUCAGAGAUUGUGUUUCCUUUAGAAUUUACUAGAGAUUGUAUUUUUUUCGGGAUUCACUAGAGAUUGUGUUUCCUUUGGGAUUGACCAUGGGUUGUGUUUCCUUUGUGAUUGACCAGGGGUUGUGUUUCCUUCGGGAUUCACAAAAGUCAUGGGUCCUACGGGACUUACUAGAGGUAGUGGACAUACUUAACUUGACUACAAUAGGUAUGUGUCCUAUGAGGACUAGAGCAAUUUUUAUGUUCCACCAGAGGUAAAGGUAGAGAUGCACCGGCGAUUGACAAGCAAAUAUCAUGAUCGAGCCACUGGGACCAGU